AGUCGAACGGCAGCACGGACUUCGGUCUGGUGGCGAGUGGCGAACGGGUGAGUAAUAUAUCGGAACGUGCCCAGUCGUGGGGGAUAACGUAGUGAGAAUUACGCUAAUACCGCAUACGAUCUAAGGAUGAAAGCGGGGGAUCGCAAGACCUCGCGCGACUGGAGCGGCCGAUAUCAGAUUAGGUAGUUGGUAGGGUAAAGGCCUACCAAGCCAACGAUCUGUAGCUGGUCUGAGAGGACGACCAGCCACACUGGAACUGAGACACGGUCCAGACUCCUACGGGAGGCAGCAGUGGGGAAUUUUGGACAAUGGGCGAAAGCCUGAUCCAGCCAUUCCGCGUGCAGGAUGAAGGCCCUCGGGUUGUAAACUGCUUUUGUACAGAACGAAAAGGUUUCUACUAAUACUAGGAGCUCAUGACGGUACUGUAAGAAUAAGCACCGGCUAACUACGUGCCAGCAGCCGCGGUAAUACGUAGGGUGCAAGCGUUAAUCGGAAUUACUGGGCGUAAAGCGUGCGCANGCGGUUAUAUAANUCAGAUGUGAAAAUCCCCGGGNUCAACCUGGGAACUGCAUUUGAGANNG
rnacentral:rRNA from 1 species